UAGGUUUAAAAAAUCCACAAUAUAGCUUAAAGAACUAAAUAAAUGUUAUUAUAGGUGAAAUAAUAAUGAACUAAUAGAACAUUAACUUGAAAACUGAUAAAACAAUUACAAGCAGAGAUUGGAAUAUGUUGUAUUCAAUCAUAGCAGAGCCGGAUGACCAUUAAGAAAAUUGCCUGAUGGAGGGAACAGUGCCUUAUCAAGAAUAAGAACAUGUAAUUGAAAAAGAGUUAAUGAUUAGUAAGAA